rnacentral:rRNA from 1 species
GUGGUUUAAUUNGAAGCAGCGCGAAGANCCUUACCAAAUCUUGACNUCNUCUGACCCCUCUAGAGAUAGAGUUUUCCCNUUCGGGGGACAGAGUGACAGGUGGUGCAUGGUUGUCGUCAGCUCGUGUCGUGAGAUGUCGGGUUAAGUCCCGCAACGAGCGCAACCCUUAAGCUUAGUUGCCAUCAUUAAGUUGGGCACUCUAAGUUGACUGCCGGUGACAAACCGGAGGAAGGUGGGGAUGACGUCAAAUCAUCAUGCCCCUUAUGGUUUGGGCUACACACGUGCUACAAUGGACAAUACAAAGGGCAGCGAAACCGCGAGGUCAAGCAAAUCCCAUAAAGUUGUUCUCAGUUCGGAUUGUAGUCUGCAACUCGACUAUAUGAAGCUGGAAUCGCUAGUAAUCGUAGAUCAGCAUGCUACGGUGAAUACGUUCCCGGGUCUUGUACACNCCGCCCGUCACACCACGAGAGUUUGUAACACCCGAAGCCGGUGGAGUAACCA